GCCCGGUUAGCUCAAUCGGUAGAGGUCAGUUCACAUCCGAUUAAUUCUUCAUCUGUAUAUCAUAACUAACAUCUUCUUCAGCGUGAGACUCUUAUAGCGGAAUCAUCUCAAGGUUGCGGGUUCGACCCCCGCAUCGGGCU